GACGAACGCUGGCGGCGUGCUUAACACAUGCAAGUCGAACGGAAAGGCCCUGCUUUUGCGGGGUGCUCGAGUGGCGAACGGGUGAGUAACACGUGAGUAAACUGCACUUGACUUUGGGAUAACUUCAGGAAACUGGGGCUCAUACCGGAUAGGAGCUACUGCUGCAUGGUGGGGGUUGGAAAGUUUCGGCGGUUGGGGAUGGACUCGCGGCUUAUCGGCUUGUUGGUGGGGUAGUGGCUUACCAAGGCUUUGACGGGUAGCCGGCCUGAGAGGGUGACCAGCCACAUUGGGACUGAGGUACGGCCCAGACGGCUACGGGAGGCAGCAGUGGGGAAUAUUGCACAAUGGGCGGAAGCCAGAUGCAGCAACGUCGCGUGCGGGAUGACGGGCUUCGGGUUGUAAACCGCUUUCUCCGGUGAUGAAGCGUGAGUGACGGUAAUGGGUAAGGAAGCACCGGCUAACUACGUG
rnacentral:rRNA from 1 species